GUGCUCGCUUCGCAGCAUGCGAACUAAAGCUGGAACGACACAGAGAAGCUUAGCAUGGCCCCUGCACAAGGACGACACGCAAAUUCGUGAAGGGUUCCAUAUUUUA